UUGUCUGUGUCAUGCCUAGAGUGUAACUGAAACUGAUUUUGGUUUAAAACUUGUAAACUGUUAAACUUUGAACUGUCUUAUUUAAUUCUUGGUUUAAUCCAUAUUAGUAGCAUAAUAAGGACUGAGUUAAGGACUGGAAUCUCCUAGGAUUAAUUGAAACUCUCUGAAAACCUCUACUGUGAAGUGUGGGAGGCGUAAACGGCGACCGGAGAGGAGAACACGAAGAAGAGGAGGGAGAGAGCCGGCUCCUAUUGGAUUGGAGCCGGCUCCCCUUGGACUGGAGGCGGCUCCAAUGGUCUAGGAGCCGGCUCCAGGGCCAUUGGAGGCGGCUCCAAUAUUCUGGAGCCGGCUCCCGGUUGUUUAUGCGUGUACGUCAGUUCCAGGCUUGAGCUUGUUCGUGCAGAGCAGAGACGAUCUUCCAUUCUACCGAAGAUGUAGGGUUUCUUUCCAGAUCUUGGAUUUGGGUUUUAUCUUUUAUUUUACUUUCAUUUAGUGUGAGACUUUUAUUAGGGGUCCACUAGAGAUGGAUUCCCGAGUUGUUCAAAUUAUGGAUAUUUGGUUUAUCAAAUUUAAGUAUUUAAUUAUUUAAGGAUUAUCUUUUA